CCUACGUGUGGCAGCAGUAGGGAAUCUUCCACAAUGGGCGAAAGCCUGAUGGAGCAACGCCGCGUGGGUGAAGAAGGUCUUCGGAUCGUAAAACCCUGUUGUUAGAGACGAAAGUGCGUGAGAGUAACUGUUCACGUUUCGACGGUAUCUACCUAGAAAGCCACGGCUAACUACGUGCCAGCCACCGCGGUAAUACGUAGGUGUCAAGCGUUAUCCGGGUUUAUUGGGCGUAAAGGGAAAGCGGGAGGUCUUUUAAGUCUGAUGUGAAAGCCUUCGGACUAACCGGAGUAGUGCAUUGGAAACUGGGAGACUUGAGUGCAGAAGAGGAGAGGGGAACUCCAUGUGUAGCGGUGAAAUGCGUAGAUAUAUGGAAGAACACCAGUGGCGAAAGCGGCUCUCUGGUCUGUAACUGACGCUGAGGUUCGAAAGCGUGGGUAGCAAACAGGAUUAGAUACCCUUGUAGUC
rnacentral:rRNA from 1 species